rnacentral:rRNA from 1 species
AGCGAACAUUGGCGGUAGGCUUAACACAUGCAAGUCGAGCGAGGCGUAAUAGUCGAGCGGCGAACGGGUGAGUAAUACUUGGGCAUCUACCCUGAAGUGGGGUAUAACGUUCAGAAAUGGACGCUAAUACCGCAUAAUCCACAUUGGGAAAGCGCGUUUCGCUUUAGGAUGUGCCCAAGGCUGAUUAGAUACUUGGUGGGUAAGGGCCUACCAGGCCGACGAUCCAUGGCUGGUUUGAGAGGAUGAUCAGCCACACUGGGACUGAGACAAGGCCCAGACCUCUACGGGAGGCAGCAGUGGGGAAGCUUAGACAAUGGGCGCAAGCCUGAUCUAGCCAUGCCGCGUGAGCGAUAAAGACCUUAGGGUUGUAAAGCACUUUCGUGGUGGAAGAUAAUGACUGUACCCCAAGAAGCAGCCCCGGCUAACUCCGUGCCAGCCGCCGCAGUAA